rnacentral:rRNA from 1 species
UACGUAGGGCGCAAGCGUUAUCCGGAAUUAUUGGGCGUAAAGAGCUCGUAGGCGGUUUGUCGCGUCUGCCGUGAAAGUCCGGGGCUCAACUCCGGAUCUGCGGUGGGUACGGGCAGACUAGAGUGAUGUAGGGGAGACUGGAAUUCCUGGUGUAGCGGUGAAAUGCGCAGAUAUCAGGAGGAACACCGGUGGCGAAGGCGGUCCUGCGCUGGGCCGAGUGC